GGUUAAGCGACUAAGCGUACACGGUGGAUGCCCUGGCAGUCAGAGGCGAUGAAGGACGUGCUAAUCUGCGAAAAGCGUCGGUAAGGUGAUAUGAACCGUUAUAACCGGCGAUGUCCGAAUGGGGAAACCCAGUGCAAUUCGUUGCACUAUCGUUAACUGAAUACAUAGGUUAACGAGGCGAACCGGGGGAACUGAAACAUCUAAGUACCCCGAGGAAAAGAAAUCAACCGAGAUUCCCCCAGUAGCGGCGAGCGAACGGGGAGCAGCCCAGAGUCUGAAUCAGCUUGUGUGUUAGUGGAACGGUCUGGAAAGUCCGACGGUACAGGGUGAUAGUCCCGUACACCAAAAUGCACAGGCUGUGAACUCGAAGAGUAGGGCGGGACACGUGGUAUCCUGUCUGAAUAUGGGGGGACCAUCCUCCAAGGCUAAAUACUCCUGACUGACCGAUAGUGAACCAGUACCGUGAGGGAAAGGCGAAAAGAACCCCGGCGAGGGGAGUGAAAAAGAACCUGAAACCGUGUACGUACAAGCAGUGGGAGCACCUUCGGGUGUGACUGCGUACCUUUUGUAUAAUGGGUCAGCGACUUAUAUUCUGUAGCAAGGUUAACCGUAUAGGGGAGCCGCAGGGAAACCGAGUCUUAACUGGGCGUUAAGUUGCAGGGUAUAGACCCGAAACCCGGUGAUCUAGCCAUGGGCAGGUUGAAGGUUGGGUAACACUAACUGGAGGACCGAACCGACUAAUGUUGAAAAAUUAGCGGAUGACUUGUGGCUGGGGGUGAAAGGCCAAUCAAACCGGGAGAUAGCUGGUUCUCCCCGAAAGCUAUUUAGGUAGCGCCUCGUGAACUCAUCUUCGGGGGUAGAGCACUGUUUCGGCUAGGGGGUCAUCCCGACUUACCAACCCGAUGCAAACUACGAAUACCGAAGAAUGUUAUCACGGGAGACACACGGCGGGUGCUAACGUCCGUCGUGAAGAGGGAAACAACCCAGACCGCCAGCUAAGGUCCCAAAGUCAUGGUUAAGUGGGAAACGAUGUGGGAAGGCACAGACAGCCAGGAUGUUGGCUUAGAAGCAGCCAUCAUUUAAAGAAAGCGUAAUAGCUCACUGGUCGAGUCGGCCUGCGCGGAAGAUGUAACGGGGCUAAACCAUGCACCGAAGCUGCGGCAGCGACACUAUGUGUUGUUGGGUAGGGGAGCGUUCUGUAAGCCUGCGAAGGUGUGCUGUGAGGCAUGCUGGAGGUAUCAGAAGUGCGAAUGCUGACAUAAGUAACGAUAAAGCGGGUGAAAAGCCCGCUCGCCGGAAGACCAAGGGUUCCUGUCCAACGUUAAUCGGGGCAGGGUGAGUCGACCCCUAAGGCGAGGCCGAAAGGCGUAGUCGAUGGGAAACAGGUUAAUAUUCCUGUACUUGGUGUUACUGCGAAGGGGGGACGGAGAAGGCUAUGUUAGCCGGGCGACGGUUGUCCCGGUUUAAGCAUGUAGGCUGAUUGUCCAGGCAAAUCCGGAUAAUCAAGGCUGAGGUGUGAUGACGAGGCACUACGGUGCUGAAGUAACAAAUGCCCUGCUUCCAGGAAAAGCCUCUAAGCAUCAGGUAACAUUAAAUCGUACCCCAAACCGACACAGGUGGUCAGGUAGAGAAUACCAAGGCGCUUGAGAGAACUCGGGUGAAGGAACUAGGCAAAAUGGUGCCGUAACUUCGGGAGAAGGCACGCUGGUGUGUAGGUGAAGUCCCUGCGGAUGGAGCUGAGACCAGUCGAAGAUACCAGCUGGCUGCAACUGUUUAUUAAAAACACAGCACUGUGCAAACACGAAAGUGGACGUAUACGGUGUGACGCCUGCCCGGUGCCGGAAGGUUAAUUGAUGGGGUUAUCCGUAAGGAGAAGCUCUUGAUCGAAGCCCCGGUAAACGGCGGCCGUAACUAUAACGGUCCUAAGGUAGCGAAAUUCCUUGUCGGGUAAGUUCCGACCUGCACGAAUGGCGUAAUGAUGGCCAGGCUGUCUCCACCCGAGACUCAGUGAAAUUGAACUCGCUGUGAAGAUGCAGUGUACCCGCGGCAAGACGGAAAGACCCCGUGAACCUUUACUAUAGCUUGACACUGAACAUUGAGCCUUGAUGUGUAGGAUAGGUGGGAGGCUUUGAAGCGUGGACGCCAGUCUGCGUGGAGCCAACCUUGAAAUACCACCCUUUAAUGUUUGAUGUUCUAACGUUGGCCCCUUACCGGGGUUGCGGACAGUGUCUGGUGGGUAGUUUGACUGGGGCGGUCUCCUCCCAAAGCGUAACGGAGGAGCACGAAGGUUAGCUAAUCCUGGUCGGACAUCAGGAGGUUAGUGCAAUGGCAUAAGCUAGCUUGACUGCGAGCGUGACGGCGCGAGCAGGUGCGAAAGCAGGUCAUAGUGAUCCGGUGGUUCUGAAUGGAAGGGCCAUCGCUCAACGGAUAAAAGGUACUCCGGGGAUAACAGGCUGAUACCGCCCAAGAGUUCAUAUCGACGGCGGUGUUUGGCACCUCGAUGUCGGCUCAUCACAUCCUGGGGCUGAAGUAGGUCCCAAGGGUAUGGCUGUUCGCCAUUUAAAGUGGUACGCGAGCUGGGUUUAGAACGUCGUGAGACAGUUCGGUCCCUAUCUGCCGUGGGCGCUGGAGAAUUGAGGGGGGCUGCUCCUAGUACGAGAGGACCGGAGUGGACGCAUCACUGGUGUUCGGGUUGUCAUGCCAAUGGCACUGCCCGGUAGCUAAAUGCGGAAGAGAUAAGUGCUGAAAGCAUCUAAGCACGAAACUUGCCCCGAGAUGAGUUCUCCCUGAGACUUUAAGUCUCCUGAAGGAACGUUAAAGACGAUGACGUUGAUAGGCCGGGUGUGUAAGCGCAGCGAUGCGUUGAGCUAACCGGUACUAAUGAACCGUGAGGCUUAACCUU
rnacentral:rRNA from 1 species